CCUACGGGAGGCUGCAGUGAGGAAUAUUGGUCAAUGGCCGUAAGGCUGAACCAGCCAAGUCGCGUGAAGGAAGAAGGAUCUAUGGUUUGUAAACUUCUUUUAUAGGGGAAUAAAGGUAUCCACGUGUGGAUUUUUGCAUGUACCCUAUGAAUAAGCAUCGGCUAACUCCGUGCCAGCAGCCGCGGUAAUACGGAGGAUGCGAGCGUUAUCCGGAUUUAGUGGGUUUAAAGGGUCCGUAGGUUGUUUUUUAAGUCAGCGGUGAAAGUAUGUGGCUCAACCAUAAAAUUGCCGUUGAAACUGGGAGACUUGAGUGUGUUUGAGGUAGGCGGAAUGCGUGGUGUAGCGGUGAAAUGCGUAGAGAUCACGAAGAACUCCGAUUGCGAAGGCAGCUUACUAAGCCAUAACUGACACUGAAGCACGAAAGCGUGGGGAUCAAACAGGAUUAGAUACCCCAGUAGUC
rnacentral:rRNA from 1 species